rnacentral:rRNA from 1 species
UCGAACGAGAGAUGAGGAGCUUGCUCUUCAAAUCGAGUGGCGAACGGGUGAGUAACGCGUGAGGAACCUGCCUCAAAGAGGGGGACAACAGUUGGAAACGACUGCUAAUACCGCAUAAGCCCACAGCUCGGCAUCGAGCAGAGGGAAAAGGAGCGAUCCGCUUUGAGAUGGCCUCGCGUCCGAUUAGCUAGUUGGUGAGGUAACGGCCCACCAAGGCGACGAUCGGUAGCCGGACUGAGAGGUUGAACGGCCACAUUGGGACUGAGACACGGCCCAGACUCCUACGGGAGGCAGCAGUGGGGAAUAUUGCACAAUGGGGGAAACCCUGAUGCAGCGACGCCGCGUGGAGGAAGAAGGUCUUCGGAUUGUAAACUCCUGUUGUUGAGGAAGAUAAUGACGGUACUCAACAAGGAAGUGACGGCUAACUACGUGCCAGCAGCCGCGGUAAAACGUAGGUCACAAGCGUUGUCCGGAAUUACUGGGUGUAAAGGGAGCGCAGGCGGGAGAACAAGUUGGAAGUGAAAUCCAUGGGCUCAACCCAUGAACUGCUUUCAAAACUGUUUUUCUUGAGUAGUGCAGAGGUAGGCGGAAUUCCCGGUGUAGCGGUGGAAUGCGUAGAUAUCGGGAGGAACACCAGUGGCGAAGGCGGCCUACUGGGCACCAACUGACGCUGAGGCUCGAAAGUGUGGGUAGCAAACAGGAUUAGAUACCCUGGUAGUCCACACCGUAAACGAUGAUUACUAGGUGUUGGAGGAUUGACCCCUUCAGUGCCGCAGUUAACACAAUAAGUAAUCCACCUGGGGAGUACGACCGCAAGGUUGCAACUCAAAGGAAUUGA